rnacentral:lncRNA from 1 species
AGCCAACUGGCUCCUCUCCUGCCCAAGGUGCUGGUGGAAGAUGGAGCCUCCCAUGGCUUUUGCAACCACUGAGACCAAGGUGUUACUGCUCUUUGAGACCCUCUCCCUAAAUGAACAGCGCCUCAUCGUGUUGUGGUGUCAGUUGGUGGCAGGAGGUGUCAGUUUGAUCCUCCACGGUUUUCAGGUCAGUCCGGUGCUGCUCAGAGUCGGAAGGAAGGAGGCUUGUCAUGGGUUGCUAGGAGCUGAAAGGUGCUUCUUACCCGUUUCUGUGUAGGAUUUUGUUUUUUUUUUUCACCCUGGAGAGAAGGCCCAGGCGGAGGAAGUAGUGGCCUGGUAGCUUUUUCCUUUCUCUUAUUAUCUGUUACUUGGGCCCAUGUCCUCACGCCAUAGACACCCUCAGAGAAGGUCAGAAA